AGUUUGAUCCUGGCUCAGAUUGAACGCUGGCGGCAUGCCUUACACAUGCAAGUCGAACGGCAGCACGGGAGCAAUCCUGGUGGCGAGUGGCGAACGGGUGAGUAAUAUAUCGGAACGUGCCCAGUCGUGGGGGAUAACGUAGAGAAAUUUACGCUAAUACCGCAUACGAUCUAAGGAUGAAAGCGGGGGACCUUCGGGCCUCGCGCGAUUGGAGCGGCUGAUAUCAGAUUAGGUUGUUGGUGAGGUAAAAGCUCACCAAGCCGACGAUCUGUAGCUGGUUUGAGAGAACGACCAGCCACACUGGGACUGAGACACGGCCCAGACUCCUACGGGAGGCAGCAGUGGGGAAUUUUGGACAAUGGGCGAAAGCCUGAUCCAGCAAUGCCGCGUGCAGGAAGAAGGCCUUCGGGUUGUAAACUGCUUUUGUACGGAACGAAAAGGUCUGCCCUAAUACGGCGGGCCCAUGACGGUACCGUAAGAAUAAGCACCGGCUAACUACGUGCCAGCAGCCGCGGUAAUACGUAGGGUGCGAGCGUUAAUCGGAAUUACUGGGCGUAAAGCGUGCGCAGGCGGUUAUGUAAGACAGUUGUGAAAUCCCCGGGCUCAACCUGGGAAUUGCAUCUGUGACUGCAUAGCUAGAGUACGGUAGAGGGGGAUGGAAUUCCGCGUGUAGCAGUGAAAUGCGUAGAUAUGCGGAGGAACACCGAUGGCGAAGGCAAUCCCCUGGACCUGUACUGACGCUCAUGCACGAAAGCGUGGGGAGCAAACAGGAUUAGAUACCCUGGUAGUCCACGCCCUAAACGAUGUCAACUGGUUGUUGGGUGCAUUAGUACUCAGUAACGAAGCUAACGCGUGAAGUUGACCGCCUGGGGAGUACGGCCGCAAGGUUGAAACUCAAGGAAUUGACGGGGACCCGCACAAGCGGUGGAUGAUGGUGGU
rnacentral:rRNA from 1 species